rnacentral:tRNA from 2 species
ACCAGGGUCGUCCAAUCGGUAAGACAGCGGGUUUUGACCCCGCCAAUGCAGGUUCGAACCCUGCCCCUGGUG